rnacentral:tRNA from 1 species
AGCCCCGUCGUCUAGCGGCCAAGGAUACGGGUUUUUGGGGCCUGUGACCCCGGUUCAAAUCCGGGCGGGGCUA